AGUACUCGAUCAACGAGGUACUGGACAGAAUAAAAGACGGCGCCGUUAAAGAGGACAAGUCGCCAGAACUAAAUACAGUUGUUAGCCUUUCCAUAUCGAAAGAGAACAGAAAACAUUAAAAUGGAGGAGAAGGCAUUUCAGCUUAAAAAAUGCCUUGCAUAGUUUCGAAAAAUAAUUGACUUUCACUUUCCAUUCACUUAACCGCGCGGAACCCGAAUGAUGGAUAUAAACUUGACUUACAAGGUGGCUAUACUU